rnacentral:rRNA from 1 species
GGGGGCUGCGUAAGUCCGAGGUGAAAGCCCGUUGCUCAACAACGGAACUGCCUUGGAUACUGCAUAGCUUGAGUACAGACGAGGUUGGCGGAAUGGACCGAGUAGCGGUGAAAUGCAUAGAUACGGUCCAGAACCCCGAUUGCGAAGGCAGCUGACUAGGCUGUUACUGACGCUGAGGCACGACAGCGUGGGGAGCGAACAGGAUUAGAUACCCGAGUAGUCC